AACGAACGCUGGCGGCAUGCUUUACACAUGCAAGUCGAACGGUAGAGGGGGCAACCCCCUUGGAGAGUGGCGAACGGGUGAGUAAUAUAUCGGAACGUGCCCAGUCGUGGGGAUAACGUAGCGAAAGCUACGCUAAUACCGCAUACGAUCUAUGGAUGAAAGCGGGGGAUCGCAAGACCUCGCGCGAUUGGAGCGGCCGAUAUCAGAUUAGGUAGUUGGUGAGGUAAAGGCUCACCAAGCCGACGAUCUGUAGCUGGUCUGAGAGGACGACCAGCCACACUGGGACUGAGACACGGUCCAGACUCCUACGGGAGGCAGCAGUGGGGAAUAUUGGACAAUGGGCGCAAG
rnacentral:rRNA from 1 species